rnacentral:rRNA from 1 species
GAUGAACGCUAGCGGCAGGCUUAACACAUGCAAGUCGAGGGGCAGCAAGGGUAGCAAUACCUGUUGGCGACCGGCAAACGGGUGCGGAACACGUACAGAAUCUACCUUGAUCUGGGGCAUAGCCCGGAGAAAUCCGGAUUAACUCCCCAUAAUAUAUUUGGAAGGCAUCUUUUGGAUAUUAAAAAUUUAUUGGAUUGAGAUGACUGUGCGUCCCAUUAGCUAGUUGGUAGGGUAACGGCCUACCAAGGCAACGAUGGGUAGCUGGUGUGA